GACGAACGCUGGCGGCGUGCCUAAUACAUGCAAGUCGAGCGGACUUACAAAGCUUGCUUUUUAAGUUAGCGGCGGACGGGUGAGUAACACGUGGGCAACCUGCCUGUAAGACUGGGAUAACUUCGGGAAACCGGAGCUAAUACCGGAUAAUCCUUUUCUACUCAUGUAGAAAAGCUGAAAGACGGUUUACGCUGUCACUUACAGAUGGGCCCGCGGCGCAUUAGCUAGUUGGUGAGGUAACGGCUCACCAAGGCGACGAUGCGUAGCCGACCUGAGAGGGUGAUCGGCCACACUGGGACUGAGACACGGCCCAGACUCCUACGGGAGGCAGCAGUAGGGAAUCUUCCGCAAUGGACGAAAGUCUGACGGAGCAACGCCGCGUGAGUGAUGAAGGUUUUCGGAUCGUAAAACUCUGUUGUUAGGGAAGAACAAGUACGAGAGUAACUGCUCGUACCUUGACGGUACCUAACCAGAAAGCCACGGCUAACUACGUG
rnacentral:rRNA from 1 species